rnacentral:rRNA from 1 species
AACGAACGCUGGCGGCAUGCCUAACACAUGCAAGUCGAACGAGACCUUCGGGUCUAGUGGCGCACGGGUGCGUAACGCGUGGGAAUCUACCCUUGGGUUCGGAAUAACAGUUAGAAAUGACUGCUAAUACCGGAUGAUGACGUAAGUCCAAAGAUUUAUCGCCCAAGGAUGAGCCCGCGUAAGAUUAGCUUGUUGGUGGGGUAAUGGCCUACCAAGGCGACGAUCUUUAGCUGGUCUGAGAGGACGAUCAGCCACACUGGGACUGAGACACGGCCCAGACUCCUACGGGAGGAAGCAGUGGGGAAUAUUGGACAAUGGGCGAAAGCCUGAUCCAGCAAUGCCGCGUGAGUGUUGAAGGCCUUAGGGUUGUAAAGCUCUGUUACCAGGGAUGAUAAUGACAGUACCUGGAGAAUAAGCUCCGGCUAACUCCGUGCCAGCCGCCGCGGUAA